GGAUCAUUACCGAGUGAGGGCCCUCUGGGUCCAACCUCCCACCCGUGUUUAUUUACCUUGUUGCUUCGGCGAGCCUGCCUUUUGGCUGCCGGGGGACGUCAGUCCCCGGGUCCGUGCUCGCCGGAGACACCUUAGAACUCUGUCUGAAGAUUGUAGUCUGAGAUUAAAUAUAAAUUAUUUAAAACUUUCAACAACGGAUCUCUUGGUUCCGGCAUCGAUGAAGAACGCAGCGAAAUGCGAUACGUAAUGUGAAUUGCAGAAUUCAGUGAAUCAUCGAGUCUUUGAACGCACAUUGCGCCCUCUGGUAUUCCGGAGGGCAUGCCUGUCCGAGCGUCAUUGCUGCCCUCAAGCACGGCUUGUGUGUUGGGCCCCGUCCUCCUUCCGGGGGACGGGUCCGAAAGGCAGCGGCGGCACCGCGUCCGGUCCUCAAGCGUAUGGGGCUUUGUCACUCGCUUUGUAGGCCUGGCCGGCGCUUGCCGAUCAACCAAACUUUUUAUCAGGUUGACCU
rnacentral:rRNA from 1 species